UACGUAGGGUGCGAGCGUUGUCCGGAAUUACUGGGCGUAAAGAGUUCGUAGGCGGUCUGUUGCGUCGGGAGUGAAAACUUACAGCUUAACUGUGAGCGUGCUUCCGAUACGGGCAGACUUGAGGUAUUCAGGGGAGAACGGAAUUCCUGGUGUAGCGGUGAAAUGACGCAGAUAUCAGGAGGAACACCGGUGGCGAAGGCGGUUCUCUGGGAAUAUCCUGACGCUGAGGAGCGAAAGUGUGGGGAGCGAACAGG
rnacentral:rRNA from 1 species